rnacentral:rRNA from 1 species
CUACGGGGCGCAGCAGUGGGGAAUAUUGCACAAUGGAGGAAACUCUGAUGCAGCAACGCCGCGUGGAGGAUGACACUUUUCGGAGCGUAAACUCCUUUUAUAUAGGAAGAUAAUGACGGUACUAUAUGAAUAAGCGCCGGCUAACUCCGUGCCAGCAGCCGCGGUAAUACGGAGGGCGCAAGCGUUACUCGGAAUCACUGGGCGUAAAGAGCGUGUAGGCGGAUAGAUAAGUCAGGAGUGAAAUCCUAUGGCUCAACCAUAGAACUGCUCUUGAAACUGUCUAUCUAGAAUAUGGGAGAGGUAGAUGGAAUUUCUGGUGUAGGGGUAAAAUCCGUAGAGAUCAGAAGGAAUACCGAUUGCGAAGGCGAUCUACUGGAACAUUAUUGACGCUGAGACGCGAAAGCGUGGGGAGCAAACAGGAUUAGAUACCCUUGUAGUC